rnacentral:rRNA from 1 species
AUUGAACGCUGGCGGCAGGCCUAACACAUGCAAGUCGAACGAGUGGCGGACGGGUGAGUAAUGUCUGGGAAACUGCCUGAUGGAGGGGGAUAACUACUGGAAACGGUAGAUAAUACCGCCUACCAUCGGAUGUGCCCAGAUGGGUAUAUGUAGGAGGGGGGGUAACGGCACACCACGGCGACGAUCCCUAGCUGGUCUGAGAGGAUGACCAGCCACCCUGGAACUGCGACACGGUCCAGACGCCUACGGGAGGCAGCAGUGGGGAAGAUUGCACAAUGGGCGCAAGCCUGAUGCAGCCAUGCCGCGUGUGUGAAGAAGGCCUUCGGGUUGUAAAGUACUUUCAGCGGGGAGGCGUUACCCGCAGAGGAAGCACCGGCUAACUCCGUGCCAGCAGCCGCGGUAAUUC